GGGCCUUUCUCAAUCUGUGUUCUUGUCUGUACUUGUGUCCUUGUGUUCUUGUGAAACGUCAUCUUUCGUGGCCCAAGUACUGUCCCAAUACACAAGUUUGCAUUUUGACAAGAACGGUUAAAAAUCCCGGAAGUGUUCUUGACACGCCCAUUUUACCGAGGAUGCAUCGGUUGGUAACUUGUGUGAACUUGACGGCAGAAAUAUCCCAGCAUUCAUUUCGGCAUACGAGGAAGGAGAGGCAAGUCAAUACAUCAAGAGACAAUUGAAGCGGAGCAAUAAUGGCAGAAGAAAGCCAGACCCACAUCUGUAAGACAGUUUUACUUUUCGUACCGCUGUUAUUAUGUAAUUGCAUUCUGAAUAAUGUGAUAAUAAUUGAAACCAAGGGACAUCUGAGGAAACCGCAGCAUUAAUUACAUGGCGAGCGGCCAACGAGGCUCUAUUCACUGGUCGGAGGAAUUCCUCCAAAAAUGGAUGGGAGUGAGUAACGUUAUGCAUAAUCUGUAUUUUGUUGUACUACAGACUGUUAUAUAAAAAGGUUUGUACGCUAAGGGUAGUUGGUCGAUUGGUGUGUUUGGUUGUGUCUGCCAGCCAGUCAGAAGAGUUUUAUGCAUCAAAAUGAAAGAAAACAAAUACAUACUAUAAAACUAAGAAAUCAAAAUACUAGUGACAAGCAAAAUAAAUAGUAAGUUACAUGUGACAUUUAUGAUUUGGUUAUGAUAUGAAUGCAGAAAGUUAUUUGGAGGCAGUAUUGCACUUAAGUGUAUGAUAGUACAUGCAUGCAGGGAGUAGAGGAGUGACAAUAAUAAUUAUUGUUAGUAGUAAUAUUAGUAAUUGUGUUUAAGUUGUCCUCUUCUUUUUGCUUUUUUCAGAGUAUUUGUGAAGCAGUCUGACCUGGCUAUCACAGCCAAACAAGCUAUGAAGAAAUGGAACAACCUUAAGGAAAAAUACAAGACAUGCAGGCAGCUCUCCAGGGGCAGACACCUGUGCAGCAAGUCUGGCACGGAGAGUAUUUCCUGAGAGCUCCCUAUCCUCAUCAUCAGGAACGUUCCCCUGAUCUUCAUCCUCAUCGUGAAGUUUCUCCUCCUCCUCCAGGAUAUCAUCUGUCGAGAGACAGAGGUUGUGUAGGAUGCAGCAUGCUGCAAUAACUUUAGGGGCAAAUAGAGGCCGAAUCUCCAAAGCCCUCAGGAAGAUGGCUCGCCAGCGGGUUUUUAGCAUUCCAAAGGUACGCUCAAUGAUGUUCCUGGCCUUAGCAUGGUGCUUGUUGAAGCGUGCUUCAACUUGGCCUGAUGAUUAAAAUACAGGUAAUGUAAAAAUAUAUGUAGUGUUUCAAAUGCAAAGUAACAAAUCCAAUAAAAAUUGUCUCUGUGUAUUCUUACCCGCUACAGGCUGGCGGUAUGGCGUCAUGAGGGUGAGAGGAUGCUGCAGACAUGGGUACCCCCCGUCUCCAAGAAGAAAGAAGCCAGCUGGUGGAUAUAGGGACUCCUUGUACAUUGGAGAUCUCCGGAGGACAAGGGCAUCAUGGACUGAUCCGGUGUUGCCAAUCAGGUGGAAGUACUCUGACGUGGCACCCAUCUAUUGCUCCAGCCGCACAGCGGAAUGCCUCAUGGCCAGCCAAGCGAGCAAAGCCUGCCCCGACCUCUUCCAUCUCUUCUGGCUUGGGGAAAUGAAUCACCUUGUGAACAAUGGCCAUCAUGUCAUCCACUAUACUGUGGACUAUUCUGCCAACUGUGGCUCUCGGUAUGGCGAAGAUGUCUGCUGUCACUCGGUAUGAGGUGCCACAUGCAAGCCAGUAGAGACAGACAGCCACCUCGAUUUCGUGGCUCCAUCCAUGUGGCUUUUGCCGAGGCAACAUCUGGACCAGCAGGUUGAUGGUUUCUCUGGAGAGCCUAAAGGCUGGUUUUAGGUCAGCUUCAGAGAAAAAGGAUGUGAGGAUUGGCACAUAGUUAUUUAUUUGUACAUACCUCUGAGAAGGCAUUUGAUCCUGUGUUUAAAAAAGAAAAACACACACAUAUAUAUUACUUAUCAUCGAUUAACAUUCUAAAAUUAUUUUUUUAUUAUUAUAAUUUUGGUAAAGCAAGGAAAGGCCAACACAAUGGAAAGUAAAAUGGUAAGUUCCAUUCCUUCUAGUCUGGUUCUAUGUAUUUCUUAAAAUUAUGUAGGCUAUAGAUGUUCUAAUAAACUUUACUUGAUUUAUUGUACAAUGCUUUCCUGAGUUGUUUUAUCUGAAAAUGUGAGUGUGAACCUUUUUUGAUACAGGUCUAAGGUAGUGCAGAGCGUACUGUAAUUUAAGCUACUCAAACAAGCUAUUGCUAUUCCAUUUACCUAAUCCCAAUUUAUUGGAUAAGGAAACUAUAAACUAGUAAUUUUUCCUAUUCAUCCAGGGUUCUCCCCUAGGAUUUUGUGAGGAGGUGAUGGUACUGGGGGGCACAAUCAAAAUGAUCAAAUGUAGUUUGACUGAUGUAAUCAAUUGUAAUACUGAGUGAUAAAAAUUUGCUUUAUAU